UUGGGAGGCAGAGGUUGCAGUGAGCCAAGAUCGUGCCACCCCACUCCAGCCUCCAGCCUGGGAAACAGAGUGAGACUCUGUCUCAAGAAAACCCAAAAAACUGACUUGAAUAAUAAGGAAGAUUUAUUGGCUCACACAAUUAAAAUAUCCAGUGGGCUUCAGGCAUGCAUGGUUUUAUCAAGGCUCUGGCUCCAUUUCUCUUCUGCACUGGUUCUUUGCUCAGGUGGACUUCCCUCGUGGUGGCAAGAUGGCUGCCAACAGAAACUGAGUCUUCGAGCUUUUUCAUUCACAUCCAGGGAAAGAAAGAGAGCAUACUCCUUCCCACAAAAGUCCUGAGCAUCUCUUUGAGUGAACCAUCCCUGCCACUGUGACAAAGGAAAUGGAAUUGAUCUGAUUAGCUUAGGCUAUGGAGGCUUUUCUUGAACCUUGCCACUCUUGCAUCAACAGGUAAAAUUUAUGAUCCUUAUCUUUAAACCUGUGUGGCCUUUGACCAAUAGAGUGUGGUGGAAGUGAUGCUAUGUGAUUUCUGAGGCUAGGUCAUUAAAUAUGUAAUGUACACUUGCCUUAAUACUCUAUUGAGACACUUGCUCUUGGAAUCCAGCAACCAUGCUGUGAGGAAGCCCAAGCAACUCAUGGAGAGGAACCAAAGCUCCCAGCCCACAGCCUCAUCUAUGCUUCCAGCCAAUAGCCAGUACCAAUUUGCCAGUUGUAUGAGAGAGCCAUCUUGAAAGUCAAACCUCAUGGUAGGCAGCAUCUCAGAUGGCCCCCAAUGAUAGGAUUCCUGCCCUUGUGUAAUCACCUCGCCCAAACACUGAUGUAUUCUGAAGAGUAUGUUCGUGAUAAAGGAUGAACUACACCAGAGAAAGAACCAGGGAUGGAGGUCUCAGGAGUAUCAUAUCCUGAAUUAUGAGAAUUUACUUCUUUUUCUAGACAUCCAGCUGCAGUGAGUCAGAGGAGAGAUGUCUGGUCUCCCCCAAAUGUAGAUGGCACUGAGUACCUAGCUUCUAACAAAUAGAAUAUAGCAUAAGUGGUAUCCAAGAUUAUAUUAUAAAACUGAUGUGGCAUCAAUCGUAUCUCAAUAAAGCUGGGGGAGAAAAGACUAGCUUCCAUUUUGGAUACUCUCUUACAUGUUCUCUCUCUCUUGCAUGGCUUACCUGGGGGAAGCCAGUUGCCAUAUUGUGAGGCAGCCCUAUAGAGGGUCCCUUAUGGUAAGAGACUGAGACCUGCCAUCAACUACAUGAGGGAGCUUGGAAGCAGAUUCUUCCACCAGUUGCACCUUCAGAUGAGAACACAACUCCAGCUGACAACUGGACUGCAACUUCAUGAGACACCUCAAGCCAGAGACGGCUAGAUAAGAGGCACCCAGCUAAACCACACCUGCA
rnacentral:lncRNA from 10 species